CCACCAUUUACGGAUUCGUUGGAGUGACGACGGCUGAACGCUCAACUUCGAGAAAGAAGCUCCUGCAGUUUCGUAAAGAUUUUACUUCAAACCAAGAAAUUAGAGUGUUUUUGGUUACUAUUUCUAAACUAUCAUUUCGAAAUAACGUUUUUCGACCAGACUCUACAUCGUUUUCAUCGACGUUAUCAGAACAAAGGUUUCAAGCUACAAUUGAGCUGCUUUUAGCAGAAAACAAGGCAAUGGCCAAGGUGAAGGAUUCACACUCUGAAAUGGCCAAAGCCCGCCAGAGUGAUGGCAUCAACGUAAUCUUUGAUAAGGAGAGCUCUUCCUCAUCCCGGUCCCACUCCCGUUCUAGAAGCCCCGGUGUAAACAGCCGGUCCUCUGGUUCCAGUCGCCACCGAGGACGUGGCAGCUACAGGAGACGUUACAGGUCUUCAUCAUCUUCCUGCAGCAGGUCCUCCUCUCGCUCAAGGUCCCGCUCUCACCCCCGAUGCCACAGGCGGUCCUCCCGCUGUCGCUGUGACAACCAUCCCAGAUAUGGCCGUGGCCGCUACAGAGCCCACUCCCGCUCUUUGAGCCGGUCAGCCUCGCCAGACCGAUACUCACGUCGCAGACAGUACAGGUCACGCUCCAGGUCCUCCAGUCGCCAAACCAGGCACAGGAGAGAUGUGAGCCGUUUAAGAUACAGGUCGUCCCGUUCCUCAUCCAGAGCCAACAGGAGCCGCUCGAAGUCCAGAGCAUCGACACACUCUGUCAGUUUGAGUUUAGAUGAUAAGAUGGAAUUCCUCAACGCUGUGAAGAUCCAAGGAGCAGAGAAGCUGGGACUCCUGGAGAGUGUGAAACCGAUCCUGUCAGAGCAGUCAGUGGAGUCCAGACAGAGGUCACCAGAUACAUGGGUGAGACAUGACCCUGAUGAAAGGACUCCAUCAAAGGUGGGUGUUUGGGAGUGGCUUUCAGCUUCACACUGGACACAAUGCACACUUAAGAUAAGACUUUGACAGGAAUUCAAAAUACAGGCCAUUUAUCUUGGACUAGAUGUGAAGACAAGCCAAGAGGUGUUGCGCAUGUUAGGGAUGGCUAAAAUAGUUUCCAUAGCACCUUUACAUAGUUAUGCACAGAUUAUAUAUUCUUUUUCAACACAUGGGUAAUGGUAUUUUACAUCUUUUGCUGUACAGGAAGAACAUUAUUUUAUAUACAAUUUGAUCCCAGUUGUGACACUAUUUUAUUUUAAGUGUCAACAUAUACACUAUAUCAAGCAAUGUCUAUUUUUGUGCCUGAGGUCUGUGUUGUGUUGAAUCUCCUGUCUUGUGUUAACCUUUGGAUCCCUGAGGGAAGACACAUACUCUCUGUAUUUAUUCCUGUCUUCAUAGAUAACAUGACAGUGGUCUUCUUCACUCAUCGGCACCUGGGAUUAAAGGGCUGUCAUGUGACUUGGGUGACGACAAUAUGUUUGAAAUGGGUCGUUGUUAUUUAGCAGAGUCUGCCACUCGCUGAUGGAGCGCAGGCGUGUGGACUGCGUUGUAGUGACUAUUCCUGUCGAGAGCUAAAAACAGAUGAAGAACUCCUCUCCUUUUGCCAAAGAUAAGUUGGUACACGGGCGGUGUGCUGAGGGGCUGGGAAACCUACGUCACCAUCAUUCUGCCACUUUAGACAGAGAAGACAUCCUUUUUACUUCAUUUUGUUGGCUUUAGUUUUUUUUUUUAAAUCUCUUUCAAGGUCUGUUCUUGAAGCACUCAUAUAAGGGAGCCUAGCCUUUGACAGUAGUGUGUGGGGAGGAGGGGGGGUGUGCUGCAGUUUGUUGAAGCUUAUACUUUUAACAUUUACUCAUGCAGUAGAAGUACUCUAUUUACUGAUUUAUAUAUAUUAGCAAUGGAAGCUAUAUACCAUCUAUGAACUUCACAAACUGUCAAAGCUCACCUUUUAUGAAAAGUGUGAUGAACAUCUCUAACUGUCUGAUAUUGUUGUCUUUUUGAAACAGAGCGAUGAGGUGGAGCCUGAUGAUAUGCCCAGCCCAACGAUGUCACCAACAAGAAAAAUAAUUUCUUUCAGCAUCAAUAAUUCUGUGGCCAAACCAACGGUAGCUGCUCCAUCUUCUGCUAAGGUAACACCAAGAGUGGACAUCUAUGAA